rnacentral:misc_RNA from 1 species
GAUGAAGAACGCAGCGAAAUGCGAUAAGUAAUGUGAAUUGCAGAAUUCAGUGAAUCAUCGAAUCUUUGAACGCACAUUGUGCCCGCCAGUAUUCUGGCGGGCAUGCCUGUUCGAGCGUCAUUUCAACCAUCAAGCCCCCGGCUUGUGUUGGGGACCUGCGGCUGCCGCAGGCCCUGAAAAGCAGUGGCGGGCUCGCUGUCACACCGAGCGUAGUAGCAUACAUCUCGCUCUGGGCGUGCUGCGGGUUCCGGCCGUUAAACCACCUUCAUAACCCAAGGUUGACCUCGGAUCAGGUAGGAAGACCCGCUGAACUUAAGCAUAUCAAUAAGCGGAGGA